rnacentral:rRNA from 1 species
CUUACGUGAAUACAUAGCGUGAGGAAGGCAGACCCAGGGAACUGAAACAUCUAAGUACCUGGAGGAAGAGAAAGAAAAAUCGAUUUCCUGAGUAGCGGCGAGCGAAACGGAAAGAGCCCAAACCAAGAAGCUUGCUUCUUGGGGUUGUAGGACACUCUAUACGGAGUUACAAAAGAAAGUUAUAAAUGAAGCGGUCUGGAAAGGCCCGCCAAAGACGGUAACAGCCCGGUAGUUGAAAUGGCUUUCCCUCCAGAGUGGAUCCUGAGUACGGCGGAACACGUGAAAUUCCGUCGGAAUCCGGGAGGACCAUCUCCCAAGGCUAAAUACUCCCUAGUGACCGAUAGUGAACCAGUACCGUGAGGGAAAGGUGAAAAGCACCCCGGAAGGGGAGUGAAACAGUUCCUGAAACCGUGU